AGAAUCAACGCUGGCGGCGUGCCUAACACAUGCAAGUCGAACGAGAAAGUGGAGCAAUCCAUGAGUAAAGUGGCGACCGGGUGAGUAACACGUGACUAACCUACCUUUGAGUGGGGGAUAACAUCGGGAAACCGAUGCUAAUACCGCAUAACAUCGCAAGAUCAAAGCAGCAAUGCGCUUAAAGAGGGGGUCGCGGCUGAUUAGCUAGUUGGCGGGUAACGCCCACAAGGCGAAGAUCGGUAUCCGGCCUGAGAGGGCGCACGGACACACUGGAACUGAAACACGGUCCAGACUCCUACGGGAGGCAGCAGUGGGGAAUUUUGCGCAAUGGGGAAACCCUGACGCAGCAACGCCGCGUGGAGGAUGAAGCCCCUUGGGGCGUAAACUCCUUUCGACCAAGACGAUAAUGACGGUACUGGUGGAAGAAGCACCGGCUAACUCUGCGCCAGCAGCCGC
rnacentral:rRNA from 1 species